rnacentral:rRNA from 1 species
UACGGGGGGGGCAAGCGUUGUUCGGAAUUACUGGGCGUAAAGGGCUCGUAGGCGGCCAACUAAGUCGGAUGUGAAAUCCCCAAGCUUAACUUGGGAACUGCAUCCGAUACUGGAUGGCUUGAAUCCGGGAGAGGGAUGCAGAAUUCCAGGUGUAGCGGUGAAAUGCGCAGAUAUCAGGAAGAACACCCGUGGCGAAGGCGGCUCUCUGGGACGGUACUGACGCUGAGACGCGAAAGCGUGGGGAGCGAACAGG